rnacentral:rRNA from 1 species
UUGAACGCUGGCGGCAGGCCUAACCCAUGCAAGUCGAGCGGAUGAAGGGAGCUUGCUCCUGGAUUCAGCGGCGGACGGGUGAGUAAUGCCUAGGAAUCUGCCUGGUAGUGGGGGUUAGCGUCCGGAAACGGGCGCUAAUACCGCAUACGUCCUGAGGGAGAAAGUGGGGGAUCUUCGGACCUCACGCUAUCAGAUGAGCCUAGGUCGGAUUAGCUAGUUGGUGGGGUAAAGGCCUACCAAGGCGACGAUCCGUAACUGGUCUGAGAGGAUGAUCAGUCACACUGGAACUGAGACACGGUCCAGACUACUACGGGAGGCAGCAGUGGGGAAUAUUGGACAAGGGGCGAAAGCCUGAUCCAGCCAUGCCGCGUGUGUGAAGAAGGUCUUCGGAUUGUAAAGCACUUCAAGUUGGGAGGAAGGGCAGUAAGUUAAUACCUUGCUGUUUUGACGUUACCAACAGAAUAAGCACCGGCUAACUUCGUG